UGUCAAUUGUUUGAUAGUUAAGCUUUAGACUGUAAAUCCAUUUGGAUAUGGUAUGGACGAAUUCUAAGAGGUUUAGGAUAGCUAAAAUCGUCCAUAUGCUUAUCUAUGGAAUGGAUUUGGAUAGCCUUAAGAGAAGAUUAUCCAAUUAGGGUUUAGGUUGUAACCCUUAAGGAGUCUACAAGUAUAAAUAGACCCCAUGACAUAGGGAAUUCGACACUUGACCUAAAGCAAGGAACCUCUGGUCGAAUUCCUCCCCUCUCCUCUCUCCUAAAUCAUUCUUAUUGCUAUUGGUGUUUGUAAGCCAUUAGAGGAGUGACACUUGUGACUCUAGAAGCUCCAAGACCUCAAGAUCAACAAGGAACUCAAAGGUAUGAUUCUAGAUCUGUUUCAAUGUUGUUAUUUAACCUAAUUAGUCAUUAGAAGACUUGGAUUCAAUGCAUGUUUAUUAGAAAGCCUAGAUCCAAGCAUUAGGGUUUUGCAUGCGCACAUAGGAAAGUUCUUAUGGCUAAAACCCAUCAGUGGUAUCAGAGCCUAGCUUGGUUUUCUUUAAAUUGUUGCUUGAUUAACUGAAACAAACCUGCAAAAUUCGAUUUUUUGGUUUCUGAGUCACUGACUCGGCGAGUCCCAAGGUGGACUCGGCGAGUAGGCCUGACUCGGCGAGUCCCCUUGUGCACUCGGCGAGUCCAGGCGUCAGGAAUGGCCAGAUUCGGGAUUUCUUUGUGUUUAUCUUAUGGAAACUUACCUUAAUCAUAAUAGAUCAACCUAAAUCCGAUUUUAUGAUAUAUAUGACUAUUAUCUUGAUCUAGAAAAAGAUAUUUAUCAACUAAUUAAAUAUUUAAUUUCCUUAUAUGAUAAUUAAUUAAUUAUUUAACUAUUUUGGUAAUUAUCUUUCAAAGAAAUCUUGAAUAAAUCAAAUAUAGAUAAUUAGGAUAUUAAUUGUUAAUUGGAAUUAUUUGUUAUUUGAUCCUCCAUGUUUUAAAUGUUUAAAACCUACCCUCAUGUUUUGAAAUUUACUUUUGUGAUUAAAAGUUUUAAUUUAGACAACUUAAAUUUCAAACCCUAGAUUUUAAAAGUUUUAAAAUACAACCCUAUACUAAUAUGAUAUUACUAGAAUAAUAUAUAUAUGUAUAACUAAAUGCUAGUCUUACCGUUAGUAGGCCUCAUUCACGAAGCCGAUCUAUAAGGUGGGUAUAAGGUUGCGGCCUAUAAAAUGGCGCUUAAUGGGUGUACACUCACACCCACCGCUUGCUUGAUUGGUGGAGGGUCGUUAGCCGAACGGGUAGGAUAGGGCAACCUCAUUCUCUCAUUAAAAGUAUAAUAAGAAAUAUAAAGUAACUACACAUAUUUUUAAAAUUUCCCAAUCCUAGUUACUUUAGGAAAAGUGAAUUGAUGCAAUCCCAUGAAAUUACACUUUGCACCUUGCUAAGAUGUUAGUGGAGCGUGUGUGGUUUACCGGCACACUAAUUGGUUCUAAGCGAAGGUGGCAAAGGGUGAUUCAUUGUUUAUCAUAGUUCGAUGGAGCGUGUGUGGUUUACCGGCACAUCGAAUAGGUGAUCGUUACAAUGAAGGCACCAUGUGAAUUUGCAUGGUAAUUCACACCCGCUUUGUGAUCCUCGGCAUCCCAGUCACAAACAAGAGGGGCAUAUCGAGAUUUAAACAUGCCAUUGAAUAGUUUCAAUGAAUCUCAUCCGAACCUAGGAAUUCUCAAAAACACUUAGGACUAAUAGUUUAAGUUUUGUGAUGGAGAAUUAGUGAAUCGUCAUUCACUUACCUUCAAUUUAUUUGCAUGUUAGAUUACGGCAUCCCUUUUCUAGUAUGUAAAUGUUAUUGUUGGAUCCUAGCCCUAAUUUUCUUAUUGGGUGAUAAUUAGGGAUUCUUAUUCUAAUCUAUCUUUGUCCUUUUCUAAUUGUAGAUGUCGAACGCAAACAACGCUGCUGCUAGUUCUUUCACGUUGAUGAGCCUUUGCCAAAAGGUCACCUUCGAUGGAACGAACUUUAGCGAAUGGAUAAGAUACAUUCGCACCAUUGCUCGCUAUGAGGAUAAGGAGUAUGUCCUCGAUGAGAAGCUCGAGAAAAUCAACCCCGAAAUUGCUACUCCCGCCGAAAUCACCGCCUUUGAAACUCAUGAGCGAGAUGCAACGAAGGUACAUUGCAUCAUGAUCGCCACCAUGAACUCCGAAUUCCAAAAGUCCUACGAGGACAUGUACCCGUACGAGAUGCACCAAGACUUAUUGGAGAGGUACCACCAAAACGCGAGACAAGAGAGGUACGAGAUUUUCACUAACAUGAUUUCCGCGAAGAUGGGUCAUGGAGAAUCUCUUACCGUGCACUUGCAAAAGAUGCAAAGGUAUGUCGACCGCCUUCGCAAGUUAAAUGUUGACUUCGGUGAGGAUUUGGCGAUCGACAUGGUGCUUCACUCUUUGCCUCCGAUGUACAAUCAAUUUAGGAUGACCUACCACAUGAACAAAGAAGAGGUCACCCUAAGCAAGCUCCAAGGUCUCUUGAGGGUUGCUGAGAGCAACUUCAAAGACAAGUCUGUUGCACCUACUCCCAAUCCGCCCGCUGCUCCUGUCUUGGCUAUUGGACAAGGGAAGGGAAAGAAGAGGAAAGCUUCAUCGAAGAACUAUCGCAAGGUGAAAGCCCGAGAUGGUGCCUCUUCUAGUGGGACCAAAGUUGAUCCCGCUAAGCCCUGCUCUAACCCGAAGGAGGCAGAGUGCCACCACUGCCACAAGAUAGGACAUUGGAAGAGAAGCUGCCCGGAUUACCUGCAAGCAAUCAAAGAAGGAAAGAUCAAGCCAUCUUUCGCAGGUAUAUAUACAAUCAAAUCUAACGAUUCUAAUCAUGCUAUUUCUUGGGUUCUUGAUACCGGUUGUGGUUAUCACAUUUGUUCUAAUGUGCAGGGACUAAGAAGAAGUAGGGAUGUGGAGCAAGGAAGGAUCAAUCUAAUCAUGGGGAACAGAAGAUCGUCGCCUGUGACCAAGAUUGGAGUGUAUUCCUUAGUGCUUAGGAAUAGUUUAGUUUUAGAUUUGAACAAUUGUUGCUAUUCGCCAGAAAUGGCAAGAAACAUCAUUUCAUUUCAUGGUUUAUAUAGACAAGGAUUUAGAUUUUCUUUUAAUAAUGAGAAUGGUUCUAUUUUGGCUUAUCUAAAUGGUGUCUUUUACUUUGAAGCUAUACCAUGUAAUGGAAUAUAUGAAACCGUUAUGAUUGUUGAUAACUUAGGAAAUGAUGUUUUGAAUAUUGAUUCUUCCACUAGUAUGGAUAAAGCAUCCUUGUGGCAUUGUCGUCUUGGACAUGUCAACAAGAAACGCAUAGCCCAACUCCAAAAGGAUGGAGUGUUGGAGUCAUUCGACCUUAGGGAAGAUGACACAUGCGAGUCUUGUUUGCUUGGAAAGAUGACUAAGUCACCCUUCACGAGUACAUGUGAAAGGGGCGAGGGUCUAUUGGACCUAAUACAUACCGAUGUAUGUGGACCGUUUAGAUCAACCACGAAGGAUGGGAACCGCUUCUAUGUGACUUUUACCGAUGACUAUAGUAGAUAUGGGUAUAUCUACUUAAUCAAGCAAAAGUCAGACACCUUUGAAAAGUUCAAAGAGUUCAAGAAUGAAGUGGAGAAUCAAUUGGGCAGGAAAAUCAAGAUGCUUCGAUCCGAUCGAGGAGGAGAGUACCUAAGUCUUGAAUUCCACGAUUAUCUCAAGGAGUGUGGAAUAGUUUCACAAUUGACGCCUCCUAGGACACCGCAGUUGAAUGGUGUGGCAGAAAGGCGUAAUCGAACCUUAUUGGAUAUGGUUCGCUCUAUGAUGAGUCGUGCUUCACUACCAAUCUCUUUUUGGGGGUAUGCCUUAGAGACUGCCGCCCAUAUCCUUAACCGAGUCCCUACUAAGAAGGUUGCCAAAACACCUCACGAGAUGUGGACAGGGAAAGCUCCCUCGUUGGCACAUAUCAAGGUUUGGGGUUGCGAGGCUUUCGUAAGACGAGAUACUCACGACAAGCUUGAACCUCGAAGUGAGCGAUGUAUUUUCAUCGGCUACCCGCAGACAUCCUUUGGAUAUCUCUUCUAUAGACCGAAGGACAAUGUUGUCUUCGUUGCGAGGAGAGGAGUUUUCCGAGAGCGAGAACUCAUAAGCCAAGGAGACAGUGGGAGGCAAAUCGAACUUGAAGAGAUUCAAGAGUCGAUAGAUGAAGGAACCUCUACCGCUGGCACUCAACCCGAGGAGGAAACUCCGGUUGAACCGAUUGACGAAUCCUUACCUCUUAGACGUUCCGAUAGAGUUAGAGUUCAUCCCCAGUUUUAUGGCUUUCAUAUUACUACCGAAGGGGACACGUAUAUUAGUGAUGGUACACUAGUAAAUCUUGAUGAACCUAAUAGCUAUAAGGAAGCCAUGGCAGGCCCGGAGUCUGCAAAAUGGAAAGAGGCAAUGGAUAGCGAGAUCCAAUCCAUGUAUGAUAACCAAGUUUGGAAUUUGGUUGAUUAUGUGCCCGGACGUAAGACCGUUGGGUGCAAAUGGAUCUUCAAGAAGAAGACCGACGUGGAUGGAAACGUACACACAUAUAAAGCGCGAUUGGUUGCGAAGGGCUUUACUCAAACUCCCGGAGUUGACUAUGAUGAGACCUUCUCACCAGUUGCGAAGAUUAAAUCUAUUAGAGUGAUGCUAGCUAUUGCCGCAUUUCAUGAUUAUGAGAUUUGGCAAAUGGAUGUCAAGACCGCUUUCCUUAACGGAAAGUUGGCUGAGGAUGUUUACAUGGCUCAGCCAGAGGGGUUUGUGGAUCCGAAGCAUCCGAAUAGAGUGUGUAAGCUUGAGAAGUCCAUUUAUGGACUUAAGCAAGCGUCUCGCAGAUGGAAUCUUUGCUUCGAUGAGAAAGUCAAAGAGUUUGGAUUUGUACGAAGCGAAGACGAAUCUUGUGUAUAUGUCAAAGCCAGUGGGAGUAUAGUAAGCUUCCUCGUUCUAUAUGUCGAUGACAUAUUACUCAUAGGAAACGACAUCCCGACUCUGCAGGAGGUUAAGUCCUGGCUCGGGAAGUGCUUCGCUAUGAAGGACCUCGGAGAGGCUUCUUACAUUUUGGGAAUAAGGAUAGUAAGAGAAAGAAGUAAGAGACUAAUUGGACUUAGUCAGAAUACUUACUUAGAGAAGGUACUAAAACGUUUUAGUAUGGAAAACUCAAAGAAGGGAGAACUACCGAUACAAAGUAAUGCCAAAUUGAGUAAGACUCAAAGUCCGAGUACCGAAGCUGAGAUAGCAGAAAUGAGCCGAGUACCAUACGCUUCCGCAGUUGGCUCAAUCAUGUACGCUAUGACUUGUACUCGCCCUGAUGUAGCCUUCGCUUUGAGCAUGGUUAGCAGAUAUCAAGGGAAUCCUGGCAAAGCACAUUGGAUUGCGGUGAAGAAUAUCCUUAAGUACCUUCGGAGGACGAAGGAAUGGUUCUUAGUCCUCGGAGGGAGUGAUGACUUGAAGGUGCGAGGGUAUAGUGACGCCAGUUUUCAGACCGACAGGGACAACUACCGUUCGCAGUCGGGCUGGGUCUUUACCCUAAAUGGAGGAGCAGUGACAUGGAAGAGUUCCAAGCAGGAAACCGUAGCUGAUUCAACGUGCGAAUCAGAGUACAUUGCAGCGAGCGAAGCGUCGAAGGAGGCAAUAUGGCUAAAGAACUUCAUCGGUGAUCUUGGAGUUGUACCUGCCAUAAAGGAGCCAAUGGAGAUUUUCUGUGAUAACGAAGGCGCGGUUGCCUUAACCAAGGAACCGAGGGAUCAUGGUAGAUCAAGACAUAUCGACAGAAAGUAUCACUUCAUUAGACAUCGUGUAGAAGAAGGACAACUCGUAGUGAAGAGGAUAUCAUCAGAAGAUAACCCAGCAGAUCCGCUUACGAAGGGACUGAGUAGGGUUAAGCACUUGCAGCAUGCUAGGAGUAUUGGGCUGAAGGAUGAUAUUAGCAUAGAUUAGAUAGUAUUAGAAACGUGUAAUAGAUAAAUGUAAUUAACAUUUGAUGAUUAAAUAAAGGAGUUUUAUUUAUGAGUAAUGUUACUAUCUUAUGUUAAUUGUUUAGCUAUUGUUUCACUUUGCAUGUUUUGACUUCCAGAAUAAUUGAGUUUAUUAGGAAUAAUCGAAUUGUUCAAAUGGUCCACAAUCGUUCAUAUGUUGGGAGUAGAUAUGAAUGAAGAUUGUCAUGAAUUGGUGUGUAGAAUGUCUAAAUGGUGUUAGACAUAGCAAAGGAUUGCUGCAACGUUCAUGAGUGCUUAUGAACUAGUUUUGAGCAUUGGAAUAAACCCGCGCUUGCUGGAAUCACCUUAUGGAAUACGAUAUAAAAGGUGAUCGCAAGACGAUAAUAUCAUAUAGUCUUAAAACCUAGAUAUAUGGUUUAUUAUUUGUUAAUUGAUUGUACAUUGAUAAUACGAAAACGCAUCAGUAACUUGGUGUUAUAAAACGUAUUGUUGUGUAUAGUUGGUAAAUGAAUAAGUAAAUGCAUAUAAGUCGAAGUUUAUCUGUAACUUUUAUCUAAGAAGGUAAAAGCGAUAUCUCGGCCGCUCGAUGAUUUGAUUUGACUUAUGUGCCGGGCCCGGUCAGAACUGAAUUGAUGUGUUCGAUUAAGUUCUAUGUCAAAUAAAUCAGAGAUCGAGAAACCUAAAUGCUUGACUAACCAUUCCAUAGGAUUGUCAGCAUGAUAUCUAACAGAGGACUGUACGUUCCCUUAUCUAAAGGACAAGAUUGAUUAGAUCAGAGUUGACAGCGUCUUUGAGAGCUACGAUUGCAAACCGAAUUGUACUUGUAUAGUUACUAGACUUAUCCAAGUGGGAGACUGUUGGAAUAGUGUCUAAGGCUGUAACUAUAUUAGGCAAGUAUUUGAUCCGGUUGUGCAUGGUCCUUUUGGGUUGCCUUCACCAUAGCAACUUGAUAGGAUGAUUUAUUAAGAGAGAGUAAAUAUUAUUAAUAUAUUAUGAGAAUAAUAUAAUGAAUAAUAUAUUUGUUAUUUGAUUAAUAUAAGUCAUAGAAUUAAUUAGAAUUAAUUUGGUGACUUAAAGAGAUUAAUUAAAUAAAGGGGUAUAAACUGUCAAUUGUUUGAUAGUUAAGCUUUAGACUGUAAAUCCAUUUGGAUAUGCUAUGGACGAAUUCUAAGAGGAUUAGGAUAGCUAAAAUCGUCCAUUAGAGUUAUCUAGGAAUGGAUUUGGAUAGCCUUAAGAGAAGAUUAUCUGAUAGGGACUUAUCUGUAAUCCUUAAGGAGUCUACAAGUAUAAAUAGACCCCAUGGCAUAGGGAAUUCGACACUUCUGAAAAAGCAAGAGAACUCUGGUCGAAUUCCUCCCCUCUCCUCUCUCCUAAAUCAUUCUUAUUGCUAUUGGUGUUUGUAAGCCAUUAGAGGAGUGACACUUGUGACUCUAGAAGCUCCAAGACCUCAAGAUCAACAAGGAACUUAAAGGUAUGAUUCUAGAUCUGUUUCAAUGUUGUUAUUUAGCCUAAUUAGUCAUUAGAAGUCUUGGAUUCAAAAGCAUGUUUAGUAGAAAGCCUAGAUCCAAGCAUUAGGGUUUUGCAUGCGCACAUAGGAAAGUUCUUAUGGUUAAAACCCAUCAAUAAUAUGGUUCAGAAUUCUAUAUAUACUCCUGAGAUUUUUGGCAGAA
rnacentral:lncRNA from 1 species